rnacentral:rRNA from 1 species
CAAAGAUUAAGCCAUGCAUGUCUAAGUAUAAGCUUUUAUACGGCGAAACUGCGAAUGGCUCAUUAAAACAGUUAUAGUUUAUUUGAUGGUCUCUUUUACAUGGAUAACCAUGGUAAUUCUAUGGCUAAUACAUGCGCAAUCGCCUCCUUCUUUGGAGGGGCUGUGUUUAUUAGAUACAAAACCAACCCACUUUGUGGAGUCGUGGUGAUUCAUAGUAACCAAACGGAUCGCAAUUUGGCCUUCGGCCGGCGAUAUAUCAUUCAAGUUUCUGACCUAUCAGCUUUCGACGGUAGGGUAUUGGCCUACCGUGGCAGUGACGGGUAACGGGGAAUUAGGGUUCGAUUCCGGAGAGGGAGCCUGAGAAACGGCUACCACAUCUAAGGAAGGCAGCAGGCGCGCAAAUUACCCAAUGAAAACAGUUUCGAGGUAGUGACGAGAAAUAACAAUACAGGGCAUUUAAUGCUUUGUAAUUGGAAUGAUGGGAAUGUAAAACCCUCUCAGAGUAACAAUUGGAGGGCAAGUCUGGUGCCAGCAGCCGCGGUAAUUCCAGCUCCAAUAGCGUAUAUUAGAGUUGUUGCAGUUAAAAAGCUCGUAGUUGGAUUUCUGUCGUGGUCGUCCGGUACCGCCCGUAUGGGUGUGCACCAGGUUUGAGCUCGGCUUUCUUC